rnacentral:rRNA from 1 species
CCUACGGGAGGCUGCAGUCGAGAAUCAUUCACAAUGGGGGAAACCCUGAUGGUGCGACGCCGCGUGGGGGAAUGAAGGUCUUCGGAUUGUAAACCCCUGUCAUGUGGGAGCAAAUUAAAAAGAUAGUACCACACGAGGAAGAGACGGCUAACUCUGUGCCAGCAGCCGCGGUAAUACAGAGGUCUCAAGCGUUGUUCGGAAUCACUGGGCGUAAAGCGUGCGUAGGCUGUUUCGUAAGUCGUGUGUGAAAGGCGCGGGCUCAACCCGCGGACGGCACAUGAUACUGCGAGACUAGAGUAAUGGAGGGGGAACCGGAAUUCUCGGUGUAGCAGUGAAAUGCGUAGAUAUCGAGAGGAACACUCGUGGCGAAGGCGGGUUCCUGGACAUUAACUGACGCUGAGGCACGAAGGCCAGGGGAGCGAAAGGGAUUAGAUACCCACGUAGUC